rnacentral:rRNA from 1 species
AGUUUGAUCCUGGCCCAGAUUGAACGCUGGCGGCAUGCCUUACACAUGCAAGUCGAACGGCAGCACGGGAGUAAUCCUGGUGGCGAGUGGCGAACGGGUGAGUAAUAUAUCGGAACGUGCCCAGUCGUGGGGGAUAACGCAGCGAAAGCUGUGCUAAUACCGCAUACGAUCUCUGGAUGAAAGCGGGGGACUCGCAAGAGCCUCGCGCGAUUGGAGCGGCCGAUAUCAGAUUAGCUAGUUGGUGGGGUAAAGGCCCACCAAGGCGACGAUCUGUAGCUGGUCUGAGAGGACGACCAGCCACACUGGAACUGAGACACGGUCCAGACUCCUACGGGAGGCAGCAGUGGGGAAUUUUGGACAAUGGGCGCAAGCCUGAUCCAGCAAUGCCGCGUGCAGGAUGAAGGCCUUCGGGUUGUAAACUGCUUUUGUACGGAACGAAAAGGUCUGCCUUAAUACGGUGGGCCCAUGACGGUACCGUAAGAAUAAGCACCGGCUAACUACGUGCCAGCAGCCGCGGUAAUACGUAGGGUGCGAGCGUUAAUCGGAAUUACUGGGCGUAAAGCGUGCGCAGGCGGUUAUAUAAGACAGAUGUGAAAUCCCCGGGCUCAACCUGNGACCUGCAUUUGUGACUGUAUAGCUAGAGUAC